rnacentral:sRNA from 1 species
AUUACUGCAGAGUAAAAAUGAAGAGCUGUUAAAAGUGAUUGAAAAUCAGAAAGAUGAAAACAAAAAAUUUACUAGUAUAUUUAAAGACAAAGAUCAAACUAUACUUGAAAAUAAGCAGCAAUAUGAUAUUGAGAUAACAAGAAUAAAAAUUGGUACGUAUUUAGACAGUAGUUAUGGUCACAUCUUUUAAAAGGAAUAAGGAAACUGAAACUUUUGUUGUUUUAGAAUUGGAGGAAGCCCUAGUCAAUGUGAAAAGCUCCCAGUUUAAGUUAGAAACUGCUGAAAAGGAAAACCAGAUAUUGGGGAUAACAUUACGUCAGCGUGAUGCUGAGGUGACUCGACUAAGAGAAUUAACCAGGUAAAAUUGACUUCCUUUGAACUUAUGCCUUUUUUAUUUUUAGAUGUUUUUAUAAACUUUGAAAUAAUGUUAGACCUGUUUUCUCACCCAUAUCUUUUUCUCUUAUUUUGCCAAUGUUUUUGCUAAUUUCUAAUGAUGUUUUCUUCUGUUCCAAUUAAAUUAGUUUAGAAAUUUCAAACCUGGCAAAAUGUUUUUUUUAAAACCGUGUGAUUCUGGGGUCCUGAUGAGAAGCUGAAGACUUGUAUAGCAACACCAUUGAGCCCUCUGGUUCUGAAGCUAGAGAGAUCUGACUGGAAUCCCAGCUCUGCCACAUAUUAGCUGA